AUGGGUUUAAGGUCAAAUGAACCCCGUCAAACAGACUUGAUUGUAAGGUGAACAGGUCUGUUUGACGGGGUUCAUUUGACCUUAAACCCAU
rnacentral:sRNA from 1 species